rnacentral:rRNA from 1 species
AUGGAGCUCAGGAAGGCUAUCUGCAACAAGCUUCAGGAGGAUAAUGGUCUAACCUAUAGCCCAGAUCGUGUGCUAGCGACCAAUGGGGCUAAGCAAUGCACUACACACGCUGUUCUUGAUGUUCUCUCAUGUGGUGAUGAGCGCCAUGGAUUAGUCCCUGCUGUAGGAGAGAGAGAAGAUGAGAGGGAGAGAGAGAAGGAAGGAGAGGAGGGAGAAAGAGAGAGGAAAGAGUACCUGGAGGUGCGUCGACCGGCGUCGGCAUGUGCUGGCAAGGUUGGGCGGGACCGGGUGGUUGGCUGUGGCUCCGUGGUUUCAGAUGGGGCACCGUGGGGAGCCAGGGAGGCGGCUUGGCCCAGCCAUGGCGUUGGUGCUGCGGAGCGCCGCCUCGCGCUACUUCGUCGUCGACACUGCGGGCUUCGCCACCGCCUACGCGAUGCCGCCCCAGGGGGAUCAGCAGCAGCCCCCUCACUGUAG